CACUCCAUCUACUGCAUCCUGUGCAUCCUACUCUCGUCUGCUCUGACCCACUUCAAGCAAGAGCUAUGGCUUGAAGUGGGUCAGAGCAGACAAGAGUAAGGGUGCAUUAGUAUGUUUACAGGUUGUGAUGAAGAAGUGAGUG